UCAGGCCUGGCUCGCCGGGACCCUGGGCGCCGGGCGGGGCUGGGGGAGGACCCGGGCCCCCCAAGUCCCGCGGGGGUCCCUCCUCUGGCCGCCCAGCCCAUAGGUCCAGUGUCCAAGUGCUGAACAAACUGGGUUUGAGACAACACAGACUCUUCUUCCGGAAGGAAACUCACAAGUCCCCAGACCACGGUACCACGCUUUCCCCAGCUGAUUUUUCUAGAUAACAGCAUUACCAAAUUGCCACCAGAAACUUCUUCACUCAGAAGGAGUCUACAAUGUCCAUCAAGCUAUAAUCGAGAAGACAGACAAUGACAAGAGAUGGCGAGAAUGUGGAGAAUCUGGAAUUUCAUAAGUCACUGGUAGUUGCAGCCAUUUUCGAAAACAAUCUGGCAGUUUCUUACAUAGUUCAAUAUACACCUACCACACUCCUAGGAACCUACCCAAGAGAAAUAAAAAAUACAUCCACAAAAAGACUUGCAUGCAAAUGUUCACAGCAGCAUUAUUCAUAAGAGCCCAACACCAAAAAAAACCUCCAAAAACCCAUUAAGUGAGGAAUGGAUAAACAGCACUGACACAACAAUGAAAAGGGCACUGAUACACGCUACCACAUGGACACCACAUGGACACCACACGGGUGAGCCUCAGGGACACUGUGCUGAGUGAACAGAUGCCAGACAAAAGAUGUGACUUCUAUCUUAAUCCACCUGAAAAGAAUUCUUCCUCCUGAAGUUUUUGAGUUAACCAGCGCUCAUCCCCCGGCUUCCUGUAUCUCCACCAGCACACUGGAUUUACUUGCUUAUUUGAUUAACCUACAACAUUGUUGUCUCUAUCCUUUGAGAUCAAGGAGGUAAGACUGGGGGAGCUGUUUGAUGCAGCAUCCUAAGAGACAGGCUGACAAACCCAACCUUGCUAGACCGGGUUUCACAGGAUCAAAAGGUCACUGAAGGAACGACUUCAACCUGGGAGACUGGUUAAGUGAACCAUGAUACAGCUACACAAAGGCCAUUACUUAAGGAGUAAAGAUGUAGCCAUGAUGUAAGACCAGAACGAGAGAAACCACUGACCUUUACUGAGCUCCCACUGGACACCAACCACUGCUCCGGAACACCCACACUUUGUCCCUACUGAACCUUCAUGAGCACAGGCAAGAUGGGCAUCAUCUUUGCAGAGGAGGAGACCAAAGGUCAGAGAGGCAAAGUCAAGUCGGCGGCCUAAAGUCACACAACUGACUGUGAGUGACAGAAUCAGGACACAGACAAGGGGCUCUGUGAUCCCAGAGUUAGAGCCCUUCCCUGGCCCCCUGCCUUCCCAAGCCUGAGACCCCUCUGACCCCAGCACUGUUAGUGGUCCCAGUAAAGAUCUGUCCGUCUCCUGUUCUCUGAACCCCUGUCUCUUCCUGGGAGCCCCGGCGGUGAGACUGAGAGUGUGCUCUGAACGCUGCCCUCUCAGACUGACGGGGAAGUGUCCACCUUCGGAAAAAUAAGCGAACCUUAAGAAGCACUACGCACUAGAACUUCAGCUUGUAUUAUUAAAGGCAUCUGAGAAAGGCAUCAUGUAGAAAUGUGAUACGUAAUUAACUCGCUGCCUCUCUAAAAUCCAAAAUUAAUAGCACUUACGACAUUUUAUGAGGUGAUUUCCUGAUAGGCUCACCCUCAACCGAAAGGCCCUGAUCCUGUACCAGCGUGCCGUCUACCACCUUGACAAGCCAGAAUUUCCAGAACAGCCUCAGCUUCCUACUCUGGAUCACCACUAGCUGGGAAACGAACAACGAUACCAGCAAACACUUCCUAGCACUUGCGACAUUCAUAACUGCUUGGAGCACAUGAUGUAUACUCACUCAUUUAAUCCUCACCACCUUGGAGUCGACAGAGAAAGGCUGAAGAAUUGUUCCAGAUUAAAAGGAGGCUAAAGAGACCUGACAAUUAAAUGCGGUAGGUGGAUCCUGUACCGCAUCCUGGACCAUGGGCCUAGAAAGGUAUAAAGAAGACUAUCGGGACAACGGACGCAAUUUGAACAUAGAGUAUAGAGGAGAACAGCAUUGGGUUAAUAUUAAAUUUCCUGAUCUUGAUAACUGUACUACGGUUACAGAAGAGAAUGCCCUUGUUCUUAGGAAACAUACUGACAUACUUAGGGGUAAAGGGCAUGAUGCCGCCAAAUGAUUCUUCUAAUGCUUCCUCAAAAUUCUCACACACUUACAUAGAAUGGAUACCACGCUCACAGAAUGAAUAAAACACUGGAGUGAAAUGUAAAUGGCUAGUGAAUUUGGGUAAAGGA